rnacentral:lncRNA from 1 species
UAUCUUAAUUAAUAUUUAAAUAGUACACCGUUUUAAAGUGUUUAAAAUUCUGGACAGUGACAUGAAUCAUUAUUGAGCCAACAGUUAACCGACAGUUUCCAGAAACAUGUUAAUUUAAUUCUGCUAGAUAACAAUGAAUCGUUUAUUUGAUAACAAUUAGCCGAUAUCUUUCAGAAAGAAGUGUAUUUGCUUAUUCGAUUCUGGAAGAGAACGGUGAACCUUUUGUAGAUAAUGGUGAACCGAUAUCAUCCAGAGAGGUAUAUGAUUGCAGAUAAAGAUCUGUUAACGACAAAGGUUAACUAAUAGCAAUUGCAAAGUUACUGGACAAACACGGCGAACAGACAUCCAGGUAAUGGUGAACCGCCAUUUUAAAUUUUAAAAUUUUGGGAAAGGUGUGUGUGAAUGAAACGGGCGGGAAAUUUUUAAAAUUUUUACUUUAUUCAAGACAUGUGACAUUUGACGUCAAACAUGCAACCCUGACGUCCAACAUGCAACAACUGACGUUAAACAUGAAACCUACAAUAUUUUACGUAAAAAAUGCAAGCGGGACAUCAGACAUGCAACAACGGAUGUUAAACAUGCAACCUGCAACACUGCACGUGAAAUAAACAACUUAUCACAUAAAGUUCGCAACUUUGACGUCAAACAUGAAACAGACGAGAAUAUUCGAGAAUAUUUUUUAUUUUGGCUUUAUUCAAAACAUGCAACAUCGUACGUCAAACAUGAAAUCCAACCGUCGAACAUGCAACAACUGAUGUUAAACAUGAAACUUGCAACACCUCACGCGAAAUAUACAACUUAUCACGUUAAGUUUGCAACUUCGACGUCAAACAUGAAACGGGCGAGAAUAUUCAAGAAUAUUCUUUAUUUUGGCUUUAUCCAAAACAUGCAACAUCUAACGUUAAACAUGAAAUCCAACCGUCGAACAUGCAACAAUUGACGUUAAACAUGAAACUUACAACACUUCACGCGAAAUAUGUAACUUAUCACGUAAAGUUCGCAACUUCGACGUCAAACAUGAAACGGACGAGAAUAUUCGUGAAUAUUCUUUAUUUUGGCUUUAUUCAAAACAUGCAACAUCGUACGUCAAACAUGAAAUCCAACCGUCGAACAUGCAACAACUGAUGUUAAACAUGAAACUUGCAACACCUCACGCGGAAUAUGCAACUUAUCACGUAAAGUUCGCAACUUCAACGUCAAACAUGAAACGGACGAGAAUAUUCGAGAAUAUUCUUUAUUUUGGCUUUAUUCACAACAUGCAACAUUGUACAUCACAACAUGAAAUCCAACCGUCGAACAUGCAACAAUUGACGUUAAACAUGAAACUUACAACACUUCACGCGAAAUAUGUAACUUAUCACGUAAAGUUCGCAACUUCGACGUCAAACAUGAAACGGACGAGAAUAUUCGGGAAUAUUCUUUAUUUUGGCUUUAUUCAAAACAUGCAACAUCGUACGUCAAACAUGAAAUCCAACCGUCGAACAUGCAACAACUGAUGUUAAACAUGAAACUUGCAACACCUCACGCGGAAUAUGCAACUUAUCACGUAAAGUUCGCAACUUCGACGUCAAACAUGAAACGGACGAGAAUAUUUGAGAAUAUUCUUUAUUUUGGCUUUAUUCAAAACAUGCAACAUUGUACGUCAAACAUGAAAUCCAACCGUCGAACAUGCAAUAACUGACGUUAAACAUGAAACUUGCAACACCUCAUGCGGAAUAUGCAACUUAUCACGUAAAGUUUCGCAACUUCGACGUCAAACAUGAAACGAACGAGAAUAUUCAGGAAUAUUCUUUAUUUUGGCUUUAUUCAAGACAUGCAAUAGCUUACGUCAAACAUGCAACCGUGACGUCUGACAUGCAACAACGGACGUUAAACAUGAAACUUGCAACACUUCACGCGAAAUAUGCAACUUAUCACGUAAAGUUCGCAACUUCGACGUCAAACAUGAAACUGACGAGAAUAUUUGGGAAUAUUCUUUAUUUUGGCUUUAUUCAACAAAUGAAACAUCUUACAUCAAACAUGCAAUCGAGACGUCGGACAUGCAACAACUGAUGUUA